rnacentral:rRNA from 1 species
AUUGAACGCUGGCGGCAGGCUUAACACAUGCAAGUCGAGAGGGGUGAUGGUGCUUGCACUAUCACUUAGCGGCGGACGGGUGAGUAAUGCUUAGGAAUCUGCCUAUUAGUGGGGGACAACAUCUCGACAGGGAUGCUAAUACCGCAUACGACCUACGGGAGAAAGCAGGGGAUCACUUGUGACCUUGCGCUAAUAGAUGAGCCUCAGUCGGAUUAGCUAGUUGGUGGCGUAAAGGCCUACCAAGGCGACGAUCUGUAGCGGGUCUGAGAGGAUGUUCCGCCACGCUGGGACUGAGACACGGCCCAGACUCGUACGGGAGGCAGCAGUGGGGAAUAUUGGACAAUCGGGGGAGCCCUGAUCGAGCGAUGCCGCGUGUGAGAAGAAGGCCUUAUGGUUGUAAAGCACUUUAGGCGAGGAGGAGGCUGUUUUGGUUAAUACCCAAGAUGAGUGGACGUUACUCGCAGAAUAAGCACCGGCUAACUCUGUGCCAGCCGCCGCAGUAA